rnacentral:rRNA from 1 species
GGCUCAGAACGAACGCUGGCGGCGUGGAUUAGGCAUGCAAGUCGUACGCGAAAGAGGGGGCAACCCCUCGAGUAGAGUGGCGAACGGGUGAGUAACGCGUGAAGAACCUGCCUUCGACAGGGGGAUAACACUCCCAACGGGGUGCUAAUACCGCAUGAGACCACGGGGUCGCAUGAUCCUGAGGUCAAAGGUGGCCUCUAUUUAUAAGCUACCGGUCGAAGAUGGCUUCGCGUCCCAUUAGCUAGUUGGCGGGGUAACGGCCCACCAAGGCGACGAUGGGUAGCUGGUCUGAGAGGAUGGUCAGCCACACUGGGACUGAGAUACGGCCCAGACUCCUACGGGAGGCAGCAGUCGAGAGGCUUCGGCAAUGGGGGAAACCCUGACCGAGCGACGCCGCGUGGGGGAUGAAGGCCUUUGGGUUGUAAACCCCUUUUGUUCGGGAAGAAACGCGAUCAGGUGAACAAUCUGGUCGUCUGACGGUACCGGACGAAUAAGCUCCGGCUAACUCCGUGCCAGCAGCCGCGGUAACACGGGGGGAGCAAGCGUUGUUCGGAAUCACUGGGCGUAAAGGGCGUGUAGGCGGUCUGGUAAGUGAGAUGUGAAAUCCCUCGGCUCACCCGAGGAUCGGCAUCUCAUACUGCUAGGCUUGAGUACGGGAGAGGACAAGGGAAUUCCUGGUGUAGCGGUGAAAUGCGUAGAUAUCAGGAGGAACACCGGUGGCGAAAGCGCUUGUCUGGCCCGAUACUGACGCUGAGGCGCGAAAGCUAGGGGAGCAAACGGGAUUAGAUACCCCGGUAGUCCUAGCCGUAAACGGUGAUCACUAGGUGUUGGGGGCAUUGACCCCUCCAGUGCCGCAGCUAACGCAAUAAGUGAUCCGCCCUGGGGAGUACGGCCGCAAGGUGAAACUCAAAGG